rnacentral:rRNA from 1 species
CUGGCGGCAGGCCUAAUACAUGCAAGUCGAGCGCGCCCUUCGGGGUGAGCGGCGGACGGGUGAGUAACGCGUGGGAAUAUGCCCUUCUCUAAGGAAUAGCCUCUGGAAACGGAGAGUAAUACCUUAUACGCCCUUUGGGGGAAAGAUUUAUCGGAGAAGGAUUAGCCCGCGUUAGAUUAGGUAGUUGGUGGGGUAAUGGCCUACCAAGCCUACGAUCUAUAGCUGGUUUGAGAGGAUGAUCAGCCACACUGGGACUGAGACACGGCCCAGACUCCUACGGGAGGCAGCAGUAGGGAAUCUUAGACAAUGGGGGCAACCCUGAUCUAGCCAUGCCGCGUGUGUGAUGAAGGCCCUAGGGUCGUAAAGCACUUUCGCCAGAGAUGAUAAUGACAGUAUCUGGUAAAGAAACCCCGGCUAACUCCGUGCCAGCAGCCGCGGUAAUACGGAGGGGGUUAGCGUUGUUCGGAAUUACUGGGCGUAAAGCGCACGUAGGCGGAUUAGUAAGUUAGAGGUGAAAUCCCAGGGCUCAACCCUGGAACUGCCUUUAAUACUGCUAGUCUAGAGUUCGAGAGAGGUGAGUGGAAUUCCAAGUGUAGAGGUGAAAUUCGUAGAUAUUUGGAGGAACACCAGUGGGCGAAGGCGGCUCACUGGCUCGAUACUGACGCUGAGGUACGAAAGUGUGGGGAGCAAACAGGAUUAGAUACCCUGGUAGUCCACACCGUAAACGAUGAAUGCCAGUCGUCGGGUAGUAUACUAUUCGGUGACACACCUAACGGAGUAAGCAUUCCCCCUGGGGAGUACGGUCGCAAGAUUAAAACUCAAAGGAAUUGACGGGGGGCCGC